AAAGAAAACGUGAAAAAAAAAAAAAAAUAAAAGAAAAUAUGGUCCCUCCAUACAGAGUGGUAACAUUCAGCCAUGAAAGGUGUGUAGCACUUGGUCAUGCUCCAACAUGGAUGAAGGUGCUAAGUGAAAGAAGCCAUCACAAAAGACCACAUGCCGUGUGAUUCCAUUUAUAGGAAAUGUCCAGAAUCGACAAACCCACAGAAACAGAAAAUAGUGGUUUCAGAGGGGCUGGCAGGGGCUUGGAGUUGAAGAAUGGUGGGGUGCUUGCUAAUGGAUACAGGGU